GCUUCAGAGAAGAGCGAGGAUCUUGCCAUCUCUUUUACAGAUCCGUGGAAGGCAGAGAGAAUUUGGGAACCUCUGUGCUAUAAGCAUGGAAAAUUGGGACUCAGGUAAAAAGGCUGGUUCCUGGUCGCACAGCUGGUCAUGGGUGAGUGUGGUUUUUGAACUCUGAUAUUUGGAUUCUGAGUACAGAACAUGUUAUAUUGUGGCCCAUGCCCUCCUCCUGAGUUCUUCAGUUUUAAUCAUUUCAUUUUCUACUCUUUUUAGGCACUUUGGCAAAGGAGUGUGAGUUUUGGGGAAGCUCAAGGAAGAGGUACCAGGUAGAGAGAGGGCCAGGGCUGAGUUCACGGGCUCUUUCUAAAUGGAAAUGUCUCACAUUCAGCUGUUGUCUGCCUUUGAGUCACACAGAACCACUUGCAGGAAGAACUCUAGAGAAUUUGGGAAGAAAGGGGGAGAGGACAGACAAAAGAUGCAUUUUUCUUUCAAGA
ensembl:lncRNA LINC01114 long intergenic non-protein coding RNA 1114